UGCUUCUUUCUGAGGCUGUAACCUUUGUGGAAACAAGAACCAAGUCUGUUAUAAUCACUUCUCUAUUCCCAGCUUCCAGCACAGUGCCUAGUAUUUGCAGAAGCUGCUUAAAAAGUACUUCUUUAAUUGAGGAACCAAAAAUGAAAUGUGCACAAUUGAGAUUAAGUUAAAAUUGACAGGAAGGUGGUGGCUAUUUUGAGUCUAUGGUUAUAGGCUUGGUCUGUCCUCAUGCUGACUUGGUCUGCGUGCCUAGGUUCAAGAUUGCCUCCAUGGGGAAUAGGCCUGCCUGCACACGUCUUACAGCCAGGGAGACCAUGAAUUCCUAGUCACGACUCUUGGCCGUCAGCCUCACAGUAAAUACAACAGUUCUAAAGCCUUAGGUAAGGUCACACGAUAUUUAUUUAUUUAUUCGCUUAGUUUCUUAAACUGAAGAUGUGCUUAAGUGAGCCUAAUUACACAACAGUUGUAUUUUAGGUUUGUUAUACUUUUUUGGCUUAAAUACAUGUGUCUUUAAGUGUAAGUGAGCCCUAUGCACCAAUAAUAGAAGUGGCCUCCUAUAACAGAGAAAAAACUCUCAUAUAAAAUAUUGUAUGCUAUUCUCAUUCUGUUUAUGGAAACAUGGGCUUUUAUUUCAUUUGCUUGCUGCUAAGUUAAUAUCUACUCACUUUAAACCUUUCACUAGAUCACUUAGAUACAGUUCCUAAUCCCUUAUUUUUAAUUUCUUAAUGUGAACAUCUUUGAAACAUUAAGAUUGAAGUAUAUGCAUUGAUAGUAAAACAUGGACUAAAUAAAAUUCACAGUCCGUAUUUAUAUAUUCAUUGUGAAUUCUCCAACAUUUUAUCACAUAAAAACCAAUGUUUGAAGAGGGAUGCCCAGACCUCACACACACCAUCCUGCACUUAUGGUUCAUUACUAAAUAUGCAUAGUAUCUUUCUAAGAUC
rnacentral:lncRNA from 1 species